AAAUUCCUUUUUUGAGAGGAAUAUUAUUUUUAUUAAUAUGUACAUUUAGCAAUAUCAAAAAUAGUAGUCUGUAUUUGAGUGUUUGUGCCUGUAGAUUUUUUAAAAGUAUUUUAAUACUUUUGUGUGUCAUCAUUUUUUUAGUGAAAUUGGCACUCUCCUAGUUAAAUUCACCUUCUUCAUUCUUUGACCUCACUUCUGUUUCCCUUUCUUUUGAUCUUCCCCUUUAUCCCAUCUUAGCUUGUGGUCAUCCUAGAUCUUAUCUUUACCAAAACAAUGAUCAUUUCUUAAGUUUUUGAUUUCAGACGUCUCAUGUGGUGACCUUCCCCUCCCAUCAUUCUGACUCACCCGAGUUAACCCCACUCUAAUAGUCCUCCUUCACUCAGACCUCAAGUACAUCAACCUCUACACUGUUGAUGUCCUUAUUUCUCUCCUUAAAUAGUUUACGUUCCAUGGUCUGUCACUAUAAUCAUAAAUCAUCUCUUUUCCUAUUCACGUUUUAUAUAUUAGCAUAGUCUAGAAACUAUGGAACUCAGGGUAUAUUAAAAAGCACAGAUAAAUAAGUUAAAAGCCUUCAAAUUAUGUUUGUCAGUUCGCUUUUUUUUUGGUCCUUUUAACACAUGCUAUUCUAGAAUGUUAAAUGAUGGUCAAGGAUUCUACCUGCCCUUUCUUCCUCAUUUUUCUGUCUUUGCAAUGGAGAGAAUCAAUGAUAUAAGUAUGUGUAAUUUCUUUUUUUGGUGAAAGGAAUGGCUGUCUCAGUAAUGGAGAAUCAAUGAAAUGCAUGUAUGCCAGUAUAUAGCCAGAUAUUAUUUACAUUUUAGUUUGGCUGCAAGCAAGACUAGGGUUUGUUGCCUUUUUUCUUGCUUCAGACUUUGAGACAUAAUUUUAGAUCCCUGAAUUCAUCCUAUUUUGUUCAGGAAAAAGAAAUCACUUGGGAAAGUUAGAAUUAGGUAAGGGGCUGAGAGAGAAUUUCUAUGUACAGCAUUCUCCUCUUUGCACCAUCAGGCCAAAGCCAGCAAGUAGAUUCUCUGGUAAGUGAGCAUUUUUCCUGGUUGGGUUUCUUUCAUCAGCAUUUACAACCCUUUCCAUACCUGCUCCCACUGUCAUCCUCCAACAUUCAUAGUUAAAUGUCAGCAUAAAUAGCUUUGGGCACAUAAGUAAAGACAGUAAACUCCAAAUUAUUUAUUCUUAGGGAGAAAGUAAGUCCCUAUUAAGACAGUGGCAUAAAUAUAGCUCAGUCAAUAAAGAUUUUUGACGCUGGGAGGGGAGAAUCAUAAGAGGAAGAGGAUAGAUGUAUGAAGUAUAGAGCUUCUGUCAAAAUCAACUCUAGGUUGCUUAGCACAUACAUGUUUGUACAUAUGUAUACAUGCACACACUCUCAAUGAAGUAGAGGGACAGUAACUCUUUUUCUGAGGUGAUGUCUCCCUAGAGACCUUGGAAAUGGCAAAGGUCUUUAAAGGGUGCCGUGGACCUUUUGUCCUUACUGCCCUAACUUCCAUGCAAUAGGAUAGAACUCUGAAGAGAAAGUAGUAAGCAUUAAGUCUUGCUCUCUGUGCUCUGAGAAAAGGAUAAAGAUGAUUUUACCUUUUGGAAAGAAAACUCUGGAGUGUAACUAUUCCAACCCUUCCCUGUCAUCAUUUCCAGUGUGUUGUUUUAGAAAGUUAUGUGAUAACCUGGCCUGAACUGGCACAUGUCUAGAAGGAGAAGUUUUCUGUUUUUACCUGCUUCUGAUACCUUUCUAAUUCUAGCUUGAGAGGAUUGUGGACAAUUUCAUGGAAAGCAAAAUAGAAUUAUACAUAAGAGACAAACUUAGGUCCUUGUAAAAAACCUUUUAAAUUCAUCGGUUUCUAACCCAGUGCUCCAUGACUCUCUUUCUGCAAAGAAUGAUUGAGUGUGUUUUUAUAUCUGAUUCAGAUAAAAAACCAGUCUUAUUUGCAAUUUGAGUAAAGGCAUACCUUGGAGAUAUUGCAGGUUCGGUUCCAGAUCACCACAGUAAAGAAAACAACAUAUAUGUAAGUGAGACCACCAUGGCUGGAUGGAAAGAGCGUCAGUGUCCUGGAUUCAAGUUCGGCCCUGACCUAAUUAAUUAUGUGAUUUUGGGCAGGGCCUUUAGCUUCUCUGGUCCUCUGUGUACACUAAAAAUUGAAACAUUAACACCCAACUGAGAUUAUGUAUAUGUAACGUGGAGAUAAUAUAUAUGUAAAUCAGGUCAUGUCACUCAUUUGGUCAAAACUUUAUACCUCCCAGUAUCCCAGUAAAAUCCAAAGUCCUUCA